rnacentral:rRNA from 1 species
CCUACGGGAGGCAGCAGUGGGGAAUAUUGCGCAAUGGGCGAAAGCCUGACGCAGCGACGCCGCGUGAGGGAUGAAGGUCUUCGGAUCGUAAACCUCUGUCAGCAGGGAAGAACGGGCACUGUGCUAAUCAGCAGUGAAUUGACGGUACCUGCAAAGGAAGCACCGGCUAACUCCGUGACAGCAGCCGCGGUAAUACGGGGGGUGCGAGCGUUAAUCGGAAUUACUGGGCGUAAAGCGCUCGUAGGGGCUAUGUCAAGUCAAGGGUGAAAUCUACGGGCUCAACGUGGGAACUACCUUUGAAACUGGUAAACUGGAGUGUGUGAGAGGAUAGUGGAAUUCCAGGUGUAGGAGUGAAAUCCGUAGAUAUCAGGAGGAACAUCAGUGGCGAAGGCGACUAUCUGGCACAUAACUGACGCUGAGGAGCGAAAGCGUAGGUAGCAAACAGGAUUAGAUACCCCGGUAGUC